AUUUCAGGACUAGGCAAAAAAAGCUGAGGCAGAAGUACACAAGGAACAUUUCAAAUUCUAGCAAUCAGUCUUCAAGCUACAAAUCAUCAGGCUGAGCUCCCGAUUCCAACGCUGGAUUAAUGCUACAGGAUCAUGGACUACAACCCCUACAGAUUAAUGAAUACUGCAAAAGUAACUUGGGUGAGGGAAGGAGAUGAUGGAAAGAAGACAUAAGGUUCAAGAAAUUCUCAGUAAAAACCUAUUCAGUAGGUUCAUCACCUUAAAGGUGAUUCCAGAACAGAAGAUGCAGCUUUAAAUGCAAACAAGUGCUAGAGACUGAUACACAGGUAUACCUGCAUUCAAGACUGAAACAAAGGGUCACUCUGGUACACUGAAGUGCUGUGAAUUAUGAAGUGACACUCAACAUGGAAGCAUCAAAGAUACCGAAAGACUGAAAGUUUCUGAAUUGCACGCUGCUACGACCUCUCAAUAUUAGACCUGAACAAGGUAAUCCUGCAUUCUCUCAAGAGGUAUGGGUAGAACCUCUUAAAAAAAAAAAAAGAAUCAAUUCAGCAACACAUACCUAUUUUACGCUAGUCAAGUAACUGGAUAUUGUUUUAUGGCACUGAUUUCUUGGGAGAAGUUUACUCUGUUCCCUAGCUUAGGCUCAUUCUGUAUUUCCCAUUCUAGAUGGGUGGAAGGCAAAAGACUAAGUCCAUCUUGCAAAGAGUUAAGUUGGAAGAUACAGCCUUAUUUGGAUGAGCACAGAAUGUACCGAUGCCAGACAGGAGGAACACAGAUGUAUUCCCACAGAUAACCUCAUACCACCUUAAUUCUGUUUGUUGCAUGAUCAGCAGGAAACUGGAGAAGUAGGGCAAGAUUUUUGCCAAGAGCAACUAGAGAAGUAGAUCAAAGUCUCUGCCUCAACUGAUAAGAAAGUUUCAGAAGCAGACAACAGAAGCCUGUCAGCUUGCAUACAGCAGCUAGCUGCCUGGGAUUUAAUACAUGAAGACUAUCAUUGUGGAAAGCUACAGACUGAUUCUAUGGCCAAACUCCUGAGCUAUGAUUCAUAUUCAGCAAUUUCCAGCUGUCCUGCUACGAACUGGCAUAUGUCUUCAUUUCUCUCCAAUUCAUCUUCUCUUUUUAAAGAGUCAGGAGUACUACAUUUAACACUACAAGAUAAGCUCAUGCUUCUCCAAGACACAGCUUAUUGGAGUAAUUUCAUUUUAUAAGCACAAUGAAUGAAAAUAUGAGAGUCCUCAUUACACAUUUGGAAAGAUUUUGAACAAAAACUGCAAGAGAAGGAGUCUGGCUGAAGCGAUAACAGAACUUCUCCACGUGCCUUGAAAGACACUGCAGGAACCCUACAGGAAGGCAAGCAGACAGCCCUAUGCAGAAGCCCUGCUAUUUCACUAGGGUGGCACAUCUAUCCUUCAACACAUUCAAUAGAUUGCCUUUGAGUUUUAAAGGACAAAAACAAAACCUGUUUCUGCAUCUG